rnacentral:tRNA from 1 species
GACUCAUUAGCUCAGUUGGUAGAGCACCUGACUUUUAAUCAGGGUGUCGAUGGUUCGAGCCCAUCAUGAGUCACCA